UACAGAGGGUGCGAGCGUUAUUCGGAGUUACUGGGCGUAAAGGGCGCGUAGGCGGAUGUAUAUGUGUGAUGUGAAAGCCCCGGGCUUAACCUGGGAAGUGCAUCGCAAACUGUAGAUCUAGAGUAGAUGAGAGGGUGAUGGAAUUUCCGGUGUAGCGGUGAAAUGCGUAGAGAUCGGAAGGAACGUCAAUGGCGAAGGCAGUCACCUGGCAUCAUACUGACGCUGAGGCGCGAAAGCGUGGGGAGCGAACAGG
rnacentral:rRNA from 1 species